AUGAGCAAUUUGAAAAGUCUCAGAAAACCGAAUGCUCUGUCGGAACAUGCAACUAGUGGUUGCGACGAGUUCUGUUACUUGCCUGAACAUGGGCUUCCUUCCUCCCUAAUUCGACUCUAUGUCAAGGAUUUCCUAAAGCUAACUCCAUCACUUAAACCCACAGUAACAAUGUACUGGAAUAAGGUGGAUCAUAUCCCAUAUAUAGAAAUUGAUAACCAGAGAUUUGGGGAAGCUAGUUAUAGACAUUGUUACCUUAAAAACUAG